rnacentral:rRNA from 1 species
GACGAACGCUGGCGGCGUGCCUAAUACAUGCAAGUAGAACGCAGUUGCGAACGGGUGAGUAACGCGUAGGUAACUGCCUCAUAGCGGGGGAUAACUAUUGGAAACGAUAGCUAAUACCGCAUACUGUGAGAUGGACCUGCGUUGUAUUAGCUAGUUGGUGAGGUAAAGGCUCACCAAGGCGACGAUACAUAGCCGAGCUGAGAGGGUGGUCGGGCACACUGGGAAUUGGACACGGCCCAGACUCCUAAGGGAGGGAGCAGUAGGGAAUUUUCGGCAAUGGACGGAAGGCUGACCGAGCAACGCCGCGUGAGUGGAGAAUGGUUUCGGAUCGUAAAGCUCUGUUGGUAGAGGAGCGGUAACUAAAGAGUAAGGGACGGCUAACUACGUGCCAGCAGCCGCGGUAAUAC